AUCGCUUCUCAGCUUUUUGGCUAAAAUCAAGUGUAGUAUCUGUUCUUAUCAGUUUCGUAUCUGAUACAUCCUCUAUCUGAGGACAAUAUGUUAAAUGGAGAUUUGGAAAUAGGAGAUGGAACGGGAGCUUGCUCCAUGCACUUCACACGGCGACCUGGUGUCGCAGUACUCCCAGGAACGGUGCGCCCACU
rnacentral:snRNA from 1 species